rnacentral:rRNA from 1 species
GUGCCAGCAGCCGCGGUAAUUCCAGCUCCAAUAGCGUAUAUUAAAGUUGUUGCGGUUAAAAAGCUCGUAGUUGGAUCUCGGCGGGCAGGGGGUGGUUCGCUCUUCAGCGCUACUGCCCCGCUUUGCCCGUGUGAUUGGCGGAGGUUUCGGGGUGCUCUUCGUUGAGUGACUCGGAGCGCCGUCAGGUUUACUUUGAAAAAAUUAGAGUGCUCAAAGCAGGCUUUUCACGCUUGAAUAUUCGUGCAUGGAAUAAUGGAAUAGGAACUCGUUUCUAUUUUGUUGGUUUUCGGAAAUCGAGUUAAUGAUUAACAGGGACAAUUGGGGGCAUUAGUAUUCAGACGACAGAGGUGAAAUUCUUGGACCGUCUGAAGACUGACUACUGCGAAAGCAUUUGCCAAGAGUGUUUUCAUUAAUCAAGAACGAAAGUUAGAGGUUCGAAGGCGAUCAGAUACCGCCCUAGUUCUAACCAUAAACGAUGCCAGCUAGCGAUCUGCCGAGUUUUUUUUGUAGGCUCCGCAGGAAGCUUUCGGGAAACCAAAGCUUUUGGGUUCCGGGGGAAGUAUGGUUGCAAAGCUGAAACUUAAAGGAAUUGACGGAAGGGCACCACCAGGAGUGGAGCCUGCGGCUUAAUUUGACUCAACACGGGAAAUCUCACCAGGCCCGGACACUGGAAGGAUUGACAGAUUGAGAGCUCUUUCUCGAUUCGGUGGGUGGUGGUGCAUGGCCGUUCUUAGUUGGUGGAGUGAUUUGUCUGGUUAAUUCCGAUAACGAACGAGACUCUGUCCUGCUAAAUAGUUGGGUCGUCCUUCGUGCGAUCCAAGUUCUUCUUAGAGGGACUGGCUGCGUCUAGCAGCACGAGAUUGAACAAUAACAGGUCUGUGAUGCCC